ensembl:snRNA U6 U6 spliceosomal RNA
AUGCUUACUAUGGCAGCACAUAUAUACUAAAAUUGGAAUGAUAUAGAAAAGAUUAGCAUGGUCCCUGUGCAAGGAUGACAUGCAAAUUCAUGAAGUAUUCCACAUUUUU